CCUACGGGAGGCAGCAGUGAGGAAUAUUGGUCAAUGGACGGAAGUCUGAACCAGCCAUGCCGCGUGCAGGAAGACGGCUCUAUGAGUUGUAAACUGCUUUUGUACAAGGGUAAACCUCAAUACGUGUAUUCUGCUGAAAGUACUGUACGAAUAAGGAUCGGCUAACUCCGUGCCAGCAGCCGCGGUAAUACGGAGGAUCCAAGCGUUAUCCGGAUUUAUUGGGUUUAAAGGGUGCGUAGGCGGAUUGAUAAGUUAGAGGUGAAAUGUCCGGGCUCAACCCGGGAACUGCCUCUAAUACUGGUGAUCUAGAGAGUAGGUGCGGUAGGCGGAAUGUAUGGUGUAGCGGUGAAAUGCUUAGAGAUCAUACAGAACACCGAUUGCGAAGGCAGCUUACCAAUCUAUAUCUGACGUUGAGGCACGAAAGCGUGGGGAGCAAACAGGAUUAGAUACCCGGGUAGUC
rnacentral:rRNA from 1 species